rnacentral:rRNA from 1 species
GGGUGACAGCCCCGUACGCGAACCCAGACCGGACGGCGCGACGCGGUCCCUGAGUAGGGCCGGGCACGUGAAACCCGGUCCGAACCUGGGUGGACCACCAUCCAAGCCUGAGUACUACCCUGUGACCGAUAGCGCACCAGUACCGUGAGGGAAAGGUGAAAAGCACCCCGGGAGGGGAGUGAAACAGUACCUGAAACCGUGCGCCCACGAGCAGUCGGAGCAACUUUCAGUUGUGACGGCGUGCCUUUUGUAGAAUGAGCCAGCGAGUCGCUGGCGCGGGGCGAGGUUAACCGAAAGGGAGCCGAAGCGAAAGCGAGCCUUAACAGGGCGACUUGAGUCCCGCGCCGCGGACGCGAAGCCGGGUGAGCUAUCCGUGGGCAGGCUGAAGCGGGGGUAAGACCCCGUGGAGGGCCGAACGCACGUCGGUUGAAAACGGCGGCGAUGACCUGCGGAUAGGGGUGAAAGGCCAAUCAAACCCGGAGAUAUCUCGUUCUCCCCGAAAUAGCUUUAGGGCUAGCGUCGCGCGUUCACCGCCGGAGGUAGAGCACCGGAUGGACGAGGGGGCUUCGCCGCCUACCGAAUCCAACCGAACUCCGAAUGCCGGCGGCCCAGAGCGCGGCAGUCAGAGCAUGUGGGCUAAGCUGUGUGCUCGAGAGGGAAACAGCCCGGACCGCCCGCUAAGGUCCCCAAGUUCCAGCCGAGUGGCAAAGGAUGUGCGUCCGCCCAGACAACCAGGAUGUUGGCUUAGAAGCAGCCAUCCAUUCAAAGAGUGCGUAACAGCUCACUGGUCGAGUGGACAUGCGCCGACAAUACACGGGGCUAAGCUGGACACCGAAGCGGCGGGAUUUUAAUUCAUUAGAAUCGGUAGGGGAGCUUCCCAUGGGCGGAGAAGCCGGAGGGCGACCGACGGUGGAGCGCAUGGGAGUGAGAAUGCUGGCAUGAGUAGCGAGAGACGAGAGAGUAACUCGUCCGCCGUGAACCCGAGGUUUCCUGGGCAAGGCUAAUCCUCCCAGGGUCAGUCGGGAGCUAAGGCGAGGCCGGAAGGCGUAGCCGACGCGCAGCAGGCAGACAUUCCUGCACCGCGCACGCGGCGCUACGACCGACGGGGCGACGGAUGGGGGUGGCUCGGCGGGGUUCUGGACGUCCCCGUGAUGGAGCGCGGCCCGCGGACCAGGGAAAUCCGGUCCGCAGAAGGGCGAGGCUCCGGACGAAGCACUUAAGCGAAGCGAGUGAGCCCGAGGUCCCUAGAAAAACCCCUAGGCAGGCGCGUGCGCGCCCGUACCGCAAACCGACACAGGUGGGUGGGUAGAACAUACCGAGGCGAUCGGGUCAACCAUGGUCAAGGAACUCGGCACAAUGGCCCCGUAACUUCGGGAGAAGGGGUGCCCGCGCGUACGUGAACCGGCUCGCCCGGGGAGCGGAGGCGGGCCGCAGUGGAGAGGCCCAAGCGACUGUUUACCAAAAACACAGGACUCUGCAGAAGCCGCAAGGCGACGUAUAGGGUCUGACGCCUGCCCGGUGCCGGAAGGUCACGCGGAGGAGUUAGCCGAUUCGGCGAAGCCCCGAAGCCAAGCCCCGGUAAACGGUCCUAAGGUAGCGAAAUUCCUUGUCGGGUAAGUUCCGACCUGCACGAAAGGCGCAACGACUUGGGCGCUGUCUCGACCAUGGACCCGGUGAAAUUGCACUGGUCGUGAAGAUGCGACUUACCCGCGGAAGGACGGAAAGACCCCGUGAACCUUCACUGCAGCUUGGCAUUGGCCGCUGGUCCCGCGUGUAGAGGAUAGGCAGGAGGCAUCGAUCCGGAGGCGCCAGCCCCCGGGGAGCCGCCCUUGGAAUACUGCCCUCGCGCGACCGGCGUCCUAACCCGAGGCCGUCAACCGGCUCGGGGACCGUGCCAGGCGGGCAGUUUGACUGGGGCGGUCGCCUCCUAAAGGGUAACGGAGGCGCGCGAAGGUCCGCUCGGGACGGUCGGCAACCGUCCUUUUGAAUGCAAGAGUACAAGCGGGCUUGACUGCGAGGCCCACAAGCCGAGCAGGUGCGAAAGCAGGCUCUAGUGAUCCGGCGGCCCCGAGUGGGUGGGCCGUCGCUCAACGGAUAAAAGGUACUCCGGGGAUAACAGGCUGAUCUUGCCCAAGAGUCCACAUCGACGGCAAGGUUUGGCACCUCGAUGUCGGCUCAUCGCAUCCUGGGGCUGAAGUCGGUCCCAAGGGUUGGGCUGUUCGCCCAUUAAAGCGGUACGCGAGCUGGGUUCAGAACGUCGUGAGACAGUUCGGUCCCUAUC